rnacentral:rRNA from 1 species
GGACGAACGCUGGCGGCGUGCUUAACCCAUGCAGGUCGAACGGAAAGGCCCUGCUUUUGUGGGGUGCUCGAGUGGCGAACGGGUGAGUAACACGUGAGUAACCUGCCCUUGACUUUGGGAUAACUUCAGGAAACUGGGGCUAAUACCGGAUAGGAGCUCCUGCUGCAUGGUGGGGGUUGGAAAGUUUCGGCGGUUGGGGAUGGACUCGCGGCUUAUCAGCUUGUUGGUGGGGUAGUGGCUUACCAAGGCUUUGACGGGUAGCCGGCCUGAGAGGGUGACCGGCCACAUUGGGACUGAGAUACGGCCCAGACUCCUACGGGAGGCAGCAGUGGGGAAUAUUGCACAAUGGGCGGAAGCCUGAUGCAGCAACGCCGCGUGCGGGAUGACGGCCUUCGGGUUGUAAACCGCUUUCGCCUGUGACGAAGCGUGAGUGACGGUAAUGGGUAAAGAAGCACCGGCUAACUACGUG